UAAACCUAAACACUUUGUACUUGGAUAAAAAUCAACUUUCUGGUUUGAUUCCUAAGGAGAUAGGAAACUUGAAAUCUCUUGUAGAUCUAGGGUUGUCCUACAACAAUUUAAGUGGUCUCAUCCCUCCAAAUAUUGGUAACUUAAUAAAGCUAAACACUUUGUACUUGGGUAAAAAUCAACUUUCUGGUUUGAUUCCUAAGGAGAUAGGAAACUUGAAAUCUCUUGUAGAUCUAGAGUUGUCCUACAACAAUUUAAGUGGUCUCAUCCCUCCAAAUAUUGGUAACUUAAUAAACCUAAACACUUUGUCCUUGGGUAAAAAUCAACUUUCUGGUUUGAUUCCUAUGGAGAUAGGAAACUUGAAAUCUCUUGUAAAUCUAUUGUUGUCCUACAACAAUUUAAGUGGUCUCAUCCCUCCAAAUAUUGGUAACUUAAUAAACCUAAACACUUUGUACUUGCAUUCCAAUCAACUUUCUGGUUUGAUUCCUGAGGAGAUAGGAAACUUGAAAUCUCUUGUAGAUCUAGAGUUGUCCAACAACAGUUUAAGUGGUCUCAUCCCUCCAAAUAUUGGUAACUUAAUAAAG
rnacentral:lncRNA from 1 species